AUUGAACGCUGGCGGCAGGCCUAACACAUGCAAGUCGGGCGGCAGCACAGGUACUUGUACCGGGUGGCGAGCGGCGGACGGGUGAGUAAUGCCUAGGAAUCUGCCUAGUAGUGGGGGAUAACGCUCGGAAACGGACGCUAAUACCGCAUACGUCCUACGGGAGAAAGCAGGGGACCUUCGGGCCUUGCGCUAUCAGAUGAGCCUAGGUCGGAUUAGCUAGUUGGUGAGGUAAAGGCUCACCAAGGCGACGAUCCGUAACUGGUCUGAGAGGAUGAUCAGUCACCCUGGAACUGAGACACGGUCCAGACUCCGACGGGAGGCAGCAGUGGGGAAUAUGGGACAAUGGGCGAAAGCCUGAUCCAGCCAUGCCGCGUGUGUGAAGAAGGUCUUCGGAUUGUAAAGCACUUUAAGUUGGGAGGAAGGGUCGUUACCUAAUACGUGACGAUUUUGACGUUACCGACAGAAUAAGCACCGGCUAACUCUGUGCCAGCAGCCGCCGUAAAAC
rnacentral:rRNA from 1 species